rnacentral:misc_RNA from 1 species
GGAUUCGUUUACAAACUCACAUAUAAUUUGUCUUUCUCAAACUGAUUUUUGGGGAAAUUUAACACAUAACAUUGAGAUUGGUACUAGUGUACAAACAAACACGCCUUGUUACUUCCUAAUAACACAAAUAUUUGUAGAUAAAAUUACGUACAAUAAAUCUUAGUGAUUCAGUCCUAUCUCGAAUCCGUGAAAUGUACUGAAAUUUCCUUAGUAACUCAAACUUUUUCCCAAAUGACCUCCCAUUUUUCUUCACAAUAAUAACCCCUCUUCAUUUGAUCAUUGCUACUACCAAAAUACCUAAAAUUAUGACUAUUAUCUCCAUCUUGUUUAUCACAAAUGACAUAGUCAUAGAACACAACCCCACUAAUAAUUAUGGCUACAAUAUGAAUAGGAAGACCAGCCCAAAAUCCAAAAAAUGGAUAAAAUUGAUAAACAAACCCAAAAAUAAUGGAAGAAUACAAGAACCAUAUAGCAAAUCCCAACAAGCUCUUCUCAAAAGACUUAUUUUUCGAUUGAAUGUUUCGAUAUGUAGAUGAUAAGUUAUUUGCCAAGUAAGCACUAAAAUAUAUGAAAAAGAUGAAAGCUAAGAACGAAUAUUGACUGUUAGAAUAUGCUCGAUAUAUUGUAGCAAUAAAAUUGAAUAUGAUCAAUAAGGUUUGAACACAUUGUAAUGUGAAUGAUGUAGAGUUUGUCAUGGAUAUAGUUGGAGUUCUUCUUUUACAACUAGUUUGUGUAUACAUUAAGUGGGGUUUUAU